UUACCCACUCCCGGCACGGGGAGGUAGUGACGAAAAAUAACGAUACGGGACUCAUCCGAGGCCCCGUAAUCGGAAUGAGUACACUCUAAACCCUUUAACGAGGAUCAAUUGGAGGGCAAGUCUGGUGCCAGCAGCCGCGGUAACUCCAGCUCCAAUAGCGUAUAUUAAAGUUGUUGCGGUUAAAAAGCUCGUAGUCGAAUUUGUGUCUCGUGCCGCUGGUUCAUCGUCCGCGGUGUUAACUGGCGAGUCGCGAGACGUCCUGCCGGUGGGCUUAGCUCGCAAGGGCGGCCCAACUCAAUCCUGCCGCGGUGCUCUUCAUUGAGUGUCGAGGUGGGCCGGCACGUUUACUUUGAACAAAUUAGAGUGCUUAAAGCAGGCUAAAACUUCGCCUGAAUACUGUGUGCAUGGAAUAAUGGAAUAGGA
rnacentral:rRNA from 1 species